rnacentral:ncRNA from 1 species
CUUCGAGGACGACCUCAAGGAUGACGUUUAGGAUGACCUCGAGGACGACCUCA